rnacentral:rRNA from 1 species
GAUGAACGCUGGCGGCGUGCUUAACACAUGCAAGUCGAACGGUGACGCCCAGCUUGCGCGGUGGACCAGUUGCGAACGGGCGAGUAAGUCGUGAGCAACCUGCCUUGGCAUCUGGGAUAAGUGCUGUAAACGGCGUGUAAUACUGGAUAUGUGACGUGAUCGCAUGGUCGUGUUUGGAAAGAAAUUUCGGUCUGGGAUGGGCUCGCGGCCUAUCAGCUUGUUGGUGAGGUAAUGGCUCACCAAGGCGUCGACGGGUAGGCGGCCUGGGAGGGGGACCGGCCACACUGGGACUGAGACGCGGCCCAGACUCCUACGGGAGGCAGCAGUGGGAAAUAUGGCACAAUGGGCGGAAGCCUGAUGCAACAACGCCGCGUGAGGGAAGACGGCCUUCGGGUUGUAAACCUCUUUUAGCAGGGAAGAAGCGAAAGUGACGGUACCUGCAGAAAAAGCGCCGGCUAACUACGUGCCAGCCGCCGCAGUAA